UGGGGAAUAUUGCACAAUGGGCGCAAGCCUGAUGCAGCCAUGCCGCGUGUAUGAAGAAGGACUUCGGGUUGUAAAGUACUUUCAGUCGGGAGGAAGGUGGUAAGGUUAAUAACCUUAUCAAUUGACGUUACCGACAGAAGAAGCACCGGCUAACUCCGUGCCAGCAGCCGCGGUAAUACGGAGGGUGCAAGCGUUAAUCGGAAUUACUGGGCGUAAAGCGCACGCAGGCGGUUGAUUGAGUCAGAUGUGAAAUCCCCGGGCUUAACCCGGGCAUUGCAUCUGAUACUGGUCAGCUAGAGUCUUGUAGAGUCGUGUAGAAUUCCAUGUGUAGCGGUGAACUGCGUAGAGAUGUGGAGGAAUACCGGUGGCGAAGGCGGCCCCCUGGACAAAGACUGACGCUCAGGUGCGAAAGCGUGGGAAGCAAACAGG
rnacentral:rRNA from 1 species